rnacentral:rRNA from 1 species
GACAGAGGGUGCAAACGUUGUCCGGAAUUACUGGGCGUAAAGAGCUCGUAGGUGGUUUGUCGCGUUGUUCGUGAAAACUCACAGCUCAACUGUGGGCGUGCGGGCGAUACGGGCAGACUGGAGUACUGCAGGGGAGACUGGAAUUCCUGGUGUAGCGGUGGAAUGCGCAGAUAUCAGGAGGAACACCGGUGGCGAAGGCGGGUCUCUGGGCAGUAACUGACGCUGAGGAGCGAAAGCGUGGGGAGCGAACAGG